rfam:Cucumis melo, WGS project CAJI01000000 data, contig: 15107
GGGCUUAUAGUUUAAUCGGUUGAAACGUACUACUCAUAAUGGUGAUAUUAUAGGUUCGAGGCCUACUAAGCCUA